GAUUAGUAUAUACUUUAAAUAUAAGUUUAUAUAUCGCUGUUUAGAGUGUUUUAAAAGGAAAAUUAUCAGUUAAUUAUUAUUAAAUUAUAAAGCAGGUCAAGAUGUAGUAUGUUAAAGAAUUAGUGGGUUACUACGAUAUACAUAUUUUAUAGAAAAUUACAUUUAGAAUGUAUAAAUAUUUGAAUUAGGAUUUAAUAGUAAAUUUUAUUAAUAUAUUUUAUUAUUGAAUAAAGGACUAGAUUAUGUACAUAUCGCCCGUCACUCUUGUUAUAAAUAUAAGAUAAGUCGUAACAAAGUAGUUUUACUGGAAGGUGUGCUUAGGUAGUA
rnacentral:rRNA from 1 species